rnacentral:rRNA from 1 species
GUCUAUGGCCGUGCCACCCUGAACAAGCCUGAUUCCGUCUGUUCUUGGAAGCUAAGCAGGGUCGAGUCUGGUUAGUACUUGGAUAGGAGACCACCUAGGAAGACUGGGUGCUAUAGAUG